rnacentral:rRNA from 1 species
GAUGAACGCUGGCGGCGUGCCUAAUACAUGCAAGUCGAGCGAAGCGUGCACGGGUGAGUAACACGUGGAUAACCUCCUAUAAGACUGGGAUACCUUCGGGAAAACGGAGCUCAACCGGAUACUUAAAUAUGGAUUCGCGCUGCAUUAGCCAGUUGGUAAGUGAACGGCUUACCAAGGCAACGAUGCAUAGCCGACCGAAGAGGGUGAUCGGCCACACUGGAACUGAGACACGGUCCAGCCUCCUACGGGAGGCAGCAGUAGGGAUACUUCCGAAAUGGGCGAAGGCCUGCCGGAGCAACGCCGCGUGAGUGAUGAAGGUCUUCGGAUCGAAAAACUCUGUUAUUAGGGAAGCGGUACCGAAUCAGAAAGCCACGGCUAACUACGUGCCAGCAGCCGCGGUAAUAC